UAGGUGAGUGCGUGACCAUGAGCUUAUUUGAGCGAUUGGGUUGUAUGUUUUGUUUUGUGUGAUGGUAUGUAGGUGUGAUGAAUGUGUUUUUGGGUGAAUUGUUCAAUGACUGGUUCGUUUAUGAUGUAUUUGUGAUUAUACCCUUUUAAUUAC
rnacentral:sRNA from 1 species